UACGAAGGGGGCUAGCGUUGCUCGGAAUCACUGGGCGUAAAGGGUGCGUAGGCGGCUUAUCAAGUCAGGCGUGAAAUUCCCGGGCUCAACCUGGGGGCUGCGCUUGAUACUGAUGAGCUUGAAUGCGGGAGAGGAUAGUGGAAUUCCCAGUGUAGAGGUGAAAUUCGUAGAUAUUGGGAAGAACACCGGUGGCGAAGGCGGCUAUCUGGCCCGUAAUUGACGCUGAGGCGCGAAAGCGUGGGGAGCAAACAGG
rnacentral:rRNA from 1 species